AACUAAAAUUACUUAGAACACACUAAACGAUAUUAUUCCUAAAUAUUAAAAUACAACAUUCAUAAAAAUAAAAGUAUAGGUGAUAGAAAUUCUAUUUGGCGCUAUAGAGAAAGUACCGUAAGGGAAAAAAUGAAAGAAAAUUCCAAAGUAAAAAAAAGCAAAGCUUAACUCUUGUACCUUUUGCAUAAUGAUUCAACUAGAAUAACACUAGCAAAAAGAAUUUAAGUUAUACACCCCGAAACUAGACGAGCUACCCACUAGCAGCCAAAAGAGCAAACUCGUCUAUGUGGCAAAAUAGUGAGAAGACUAAUGGGUAGUGGCAACAAACCUACCGAGCCUAGUGAUAGCUGGUUGUCCAGAAUAGAAUUUUAGUUCUAACUUAAGCUUACCUCAAAAAAAAAUAAAUUUAAAUGUAUGCUUAAACAAUAAUCUAAAAGGGUACAGCCUUUUAGAUAAGGGAUACAACCCCGAUUAGUGAGUAAAUAAAAAUUUAACAACACUCUAGUUGGCCUAAAAGCAGCCAUCAAACAAGAUAGCGUUCAAGCUCAACAAUAUCUAUAAAACUAAUCUCAAUUAUUAAUUUAAUACUCCUAAUACAAACUGGACUAUUCUAUUUUUAAUAGAAGCAUAAUGUUGUAUGAGUAACAAGAAUAUUUCUCCC
rnacentral:rRNA from 1 species